GCAGCCGCGGUAAUUCCAGCUCCAAUAGCGUAUAUUAAAGUUGUUGCAGUUAAAAAGCUCGUAGUUGAAUUUCGGGGUUAGUAGGCUGGUCGUGCCACAGGUAUGCACUGGUCUUACUGAUUCCUCCUUCCUGAUGAACCGUAAUGCCAUUAAUUUGGUGUUGCGGGGAGUCUGGACUGUUACUUUGAAAAAAUUAGAGUGUUUAAAGCAGGCUAACGCUUGAAUACAUUAGCAUGGAAUAACGAAAUAGGACGUUCGAUCUUAUUUUGUUGGUUUCUAAGAUUGACGUAAUGAUUAAUAGGGAUAGUUGGGGGCAUUAGUAUUCAAUUGUCAGAGGUGAAAUUCUUGGAUUUAUUGAAGACUAACUACUGCGAAAGCAUUUGCCAAGGAUGUUUUCAUUAAUCAAGAACGAAAGUUAGGGGAUCGAAGACGAUCAGAUACCGUCGUAGUCUUAACCAUAAACUAUGCCGACUAGGGAUCGGAUGAUGUUAAUUUUUUAAUGACUC
rnacentral:rRNA from 1 species